UUGGAGGGCAAGUCUGGUGCCAGCAGCCGCGGUAAUUCCAGCUCCAAUAGCGUAUAUUAAAGUUGUUGUGGUUAAAAAGCUCGUAGUUGAACCUUGGGCCUGGCUGGCCGGUCCGCCUCACCGCGUGUACUGGUCCGGCCGGGCCUUUCCCUCUGUGGAACCCCAUGCCCUUCACUGGGUGUGGCGGGGAAACAGGACUUUUACUGUGAAAAAACUGAGUGCUCCAGGCAGGCCUAUGCUCGAAUACAUUAGCAUGGAAUAAUAGAAUAGGA
rnacentral:rRNA from 1 species